CCCGGGGCAAAGCCGCGAACGGGUGAGUAACACGUGGGUUACCUGCCCCGAUGACCGGGACAACCCGAGGAAACUCGGGCUAAUACCGGAUGUGCCCGCAAGGGGAAAGGAAGCUUCGGCCUCCGCAUCGGGAUGGGCCCGCGGCCCAUUAGCUUGUUAGUGAGGUAACGGCUCACCAAGGCUGCGAUGGGUAGCUGGUCUGAGAGGACGAUCAGCCACACUGGGACUGAGACACGGCCCAG
rnacentral:rRNA from 1 species